GGGGGGGGGGGGGAUUCUAGCGUUUCUUGAGAUGGGGUGGGGGUGGGAAUUGUAGGGGGAUUGCCAGGAAGCAGCUUACUUGCCCCUGGUUAGAAUAGAUGACAGGGAGAAGGGAGCGGAGGGCGACACAUGUAUGAAGUACCAGAAGGAAGGGAGGAGAUUUUUGCAUGCUGGGGAAGUGGGAAAGUAGAUACAAGGCUCACCGGAAAUGAAAUGAUAUGUGCCAGGUAAGAGAACACGGUGGGCAACCUGGGUAGGUAAUGAGACAUUAGGCUACAGUAGCGAGAACAGUGAGUAGCGGAGGGGUGGGGGGGCAGGGCACUUAGAAAAAAAGGACACAAGGAGGGCUGUUGGGGGGAGGGAGAGGAGUAGAGACAUACAGUAUUUUUAAAGAAAACUAUUUUUUAGGAUUUUUUCUGGAGUUUGGGGUUUUAGUUUUUGUUUUCCAUAAAAAUAAACAAAAAAAACAAACAAAAA
rnacentral:lncRNA from 1 species